rnacentral:lncRNA from 1 species
UGAAAGCGAAUGCCAUGUUGAUGACAUGAUGACAAAGUCCCAAGUAGAAGAGGGGCAUCCGGUGGACUUGAUCAAGUUGUUUGACCGGUCGGGAUAACUCACACUGUUGAGUCAGAAUCAGUGCACUUAUGGAGUGCUGUCCGGUAGGCUGCCGAGGCUUAUUGUGAACGAAAGAGGAGUCGAGGUCGAUCCUGCUAAAAAAAAAAGGAAAAAAAACAAUACUAGAAACGCCUAAACCAAAAACAAACAAAAAAAAGAGAGAAAAGAAAUCAAAUGGUCAGGUGGAAUGAUGACUGCCAAGGGGC